rnacentral:tRNA from 1 species
GCGGUCGUGGCGGAAUGGCAUACGCGCUAGCUUGAGGUGCUAGUACUCGACAAGGGUGUGCGGGUUCAAGUCCCGCCGACCGCACCA